rnacentral:rRNA from 1 species
UACGUAGGGCGCAAGCGUUGUCCGGAAUUAUUGGGCGUAAAGAGCUCGUAGGCGGCUUGGCAAGCCGGGUGUGAAAACUCCAGGCUCAACCUGGAGACGCCACCCGGGACUGCUAUGGCUAGAGUCCGGUAGGGGAUCACGGAAUUCCUGGUGUAGCGGUGAAAUGCGCAGAUAUCAGGAGGAACACCAAUUGCGAAGGCAGCGCGCUGGGACGUUACUGACGCUGAGACGCGAAAGCGUGGGGAGCAAACAGG